CCAUCUUGCCUCAAAAAUAUUCAUCUGAAGUCUAAGGGAAUAAGUUAUUUUUUCCAUUUCGUAAAUUUCUCAGAUCCAGUAAUUGUUUUUCUGACCAUCUUUGUAGGUCGCUAUGAAUACAUC